CCUCGUCCUAUGUUGCCAGCACGUGAUAGUGGGGACUCAUAGGAGACUGCCGGGGUCAACGCGGAGGAAGGUGGGGAUGACGUCAAAUCAUCAUGCCCCUUAUGUCUUGGGCUUCACGCAUACUGCAAUGGCCGGUACAAAGGGCUGCGAUACCGCGAGGUGGAGCGAAUCCCAAAAAACCGGUCUCAGUUCGGAUUGGGGUCUGCAACUCGACCCCAUGAAGUCGGAGUCGCUAGUAAUCGCAGAUCAGCAACGCUGCGGUGAAUACGUUCCCGGGCCUUGUACACACCGCCCGUCAAGUCACGAAAGUCGGUAACACCCGAAGCCGGUGGCCCAACUCUUUGAGAGGGAGCCGUCGAAGGUGGGACUGGCGAUUGGGACUAA
rnacentral:rRNA from 1 species